AACGAACGCUGGCGGCGUGCUUAACACAUGCAAGUCGAACGUGAAAGACUUCGGUCGAGUAAAGUGGCGAACGGGUGAGUAACGCGUGGGUAAUCUGCCCUCGGGCGGGGGAUAACCUCUCGAAAGGGGGGCGUAAUACCGCAUGAGACCACGGCUUCUUGGAGCUGUGGGAAAAGGUAGGGUCGCAAGACCAGCCACCUGAGGAUGAGCCCGCGUACCAUUAGGUAGUUGGUGGGGUAAUGGCCUACCAAGCCUGAGAUGGUUAGGCUGGUCUGAGAGGACGAUCAGCCACACUGGGACGUGAGACACGGCCCACGACUCCUACGGGAGGCAGCAGUGGGGAAGUAUUGCGCAAUGGGGGAAACCCGUCGACGCAGCAACGCCGCGUGUGUGAAGAAGGCCUCGGUC
rnacentral:rRNA from 1 species